UACAGAGGUCUCAACCGUUGUUCGGAUUCAUUGGGCGUAAAGGGUGCGUAGGUGGCGGGGUUAGUCAGGUGUGAAAUCUCGGGGCUCAACCCCGAAACUGCACUUGAUACUGCCUUGCUAGAGUACUGGAGAGGAGAUUGGAAUUUACGGUGUAGCAGUGAAAUGCGUAGAUAUCGUAAGGAAGACCAGUGGCGAAGGCGAAUCUCUGGACAGUUACUGACACUGAGGCGCGACAGCGUGGGGAGCAAACAGG
rnacentral:rRNA from 1 species